CUCAUUCUAGUUGGGUCCUUGACCCGACCCACUGUGUAAAUAUAUAUAUUGGGGUCACAGAUAUUUGUGACCCCCGGACUUCAUUUUUGUUUAUUUUGCUUCUCGGUUUAAUACAAACUCUCUCUGACAUUCGAGAGACUUCUCACCUACUCUCCUCCUUCUCUCUACUUUCUCUCACUAUAAUUUCUAUGAUUCAUCGGUUCAAUCGUGAUGUUAACAUGGUAUCAGAGCCUCGACGACGAUCCGAUCAUGUUUGUGUGUGUUCGUG
rnacentral:lncRNA from 1 species